UGUGUCAAAUGUGCACAUAUCUGGUGUACGAGAGAAAGCAGAAACUAUUAUUGAGAGAUCUAUAUGUGUUAAUGUGAUGGGCUGUCAUUUUUGGGAUUGAGAUUUUACUAGAGGACCCCAUAACAAGGCAAAGUAUUAUAUUCGGUGCAGCUCGCUUUUAACUUAAAUUAUUAUCCAAAUGUAUGGUCCCUGUGUUGUGUCAAAUGUGCACGGUGUAUGAGAGAAAGCAGAAAUUAUUAUUAUUGAGAGAUCUUUAUUUGUUAAUAUGAUGGGCUGUCAUGUUUGGGAUUGAGAUUUUACUAGAGGACCCGAUAUGUAAGGACCUUCUUGUGAUAUAUUAUCUUACGAGAUGAUAUUAAGGACCAAGUUAAGAAGAUCUAGUUAGCUAUUUUAGCAAAUUUGUAAUUUUAAUUAUCAUUUAAUUUAAAUUUAUUUUUAAACAAGGAUUUUUUGUUACACGAAAAGCGUUGUAACCCAAGGUAUUCACUAAUAGGUAUUGGUGAGACUUUAUUAAAUUGCAGAUCAUUUUUCUUGGUUAUGGACAAUAUGCUCUAAGCGUGAAAGCCUAGGGGUGGUUAUGCAUUUGAUUUAAUUCUGGUUUAGUAAUUAUGUUUUACCAAUUUGAAUAUAGUAAUCAAUCGAGAUUCUUGCAGAUAACAAUGGUAUUAGCCCAGAGAUGUGCCCAAUUUCUUUUAAGUCAGACUCAUCAUCUCUAGAUUUCAGAAAUACCCUGGACAUAUUCAGAUCAAACACCUAACUUCUUUUUAAUGCUUUCACCUUAUCACCG
rnacentral:lncRNA from 1 species